AGCCUGAGCCCCACACAUUCACAUGGAGAUUUGGGAGUAUAAAUAGGAGGCCUGAAGAGGUCGGAUUCACUCCUCUCAGGGGUCUCUGCACCGCAGUCCAAGCAGCAAUGGCACGGUGGCGAACAAGCUGAGGAAAGACAUGGUGGAGAAGCUGUGCAGAGGAUCCCAUCAGCAGCAGCAUCGAGCAGCUUCGGCCAGCAGCCCAACUCCCGGCAGGAGAAGCCCGACGUUCUGGAGGUGAUGGUUCACUUCCCGAGAUGGCAGCUUCAGCAGUGAUCUGUGAGAAGAUCGAGUUUCACGGUGGCUGUCGAUGAGGGCUUCUCCAGGAGGUGUCCAGGAGGUUGAGAACUUUCUGUCACAGGAUGAACGAAAGACUGAGGGGCAGAAGAACCAGCUGAGCCACCUCCAGUCUGCAGGCUUCAUCUUACGACGGGCAGAAUCAAGCCGCCCUAAGUCAGAUGCACUUUCCACCUGGCAGCACUCAGUGUAAUGUGAGAAAUGUGUUAAACAAACCUGCUGGAGACCUUUGUAAAGGAUCAGAGGUGCAUCUAUCGGGUCGAGCUGAAAAUGUCAGCUUGGUAAAGUAAUUCUUUGCAAGAAAUAUUAUCAUUCUUCUGCAAGUGCAUGAGGUUUUAAAUUCUAAUAUCAAUAUUAAAUAUCAUUCUGAGGAAUUGUUAUGAUGUGUAUUCAUGAAGCAUAUUUCCCAUGGAAAGAAUAUAUGUUUUAGUUACACUUCAGUCAAGCUCUUGAGUUUGAAUGUGACAAUAUAAUAGGUCAUGUUUUGACUAUGUUAGAUCAUUUGAUCAUUAUGAAGAAAUAGUCACCUUUUGCAAAGGUGUUUUUGUAUAUCAUGCAAAAAAUCUAAUUUUUUGUUAAAAUGUUCAGAUUAAUAUUUUAAUUGAUGUUUAUGUUAAAAUUGUAUCUAUGUAAUUGUAUUACGCUUUCAGUUCGGUUAUUUUUUAUAACCUUUGAAUCAUUCUGUUCUUACUGAGAAUUCUUACUUCUGUAUGAGUUAGUCUUUUCAUAAAGACGUUUACUAACAUUCA